rnacentral:tRNA from 1 species
GGUGGCUCAGUGGUAAAGUGCUUGCCUUGAAUGCAUGAGGCCCUGGGUUCAAUUCCUCAGCACCA